GGAUAUUUAUUUAUAACAUAUAUAUAUUGAUUUAUGACUGAUUAAAUAGUCAUUGCUAAACUUAUAACUGUUUUUGUUAUAUUUUGUCUUGAAAUGAAUAAGAAACCAGUGUCUUAGAUUACUCAGUCCAGCUACCAAGGUUUGCAAGUUACCAUUGCAUGUUUCACGAUUACCAGUGAAAGUUUAUAAAAGGCCUGCUACCAAGGUUCUAGUGUUAAGCAAGUAAACACACACACACAUUUAAAUAUUACUUCGUAAUGCUAUACCAGAGGCGUUACAAUAU
rnacentral:lncRNA from 1 species